CAGGGAAAAACCAUAAAUCUCAAAAGUCUAGAACAAAAGAGAAAACUCCGGGUUUUCAACCCAGCCUCCCCUCCUCUAUUCUAACUGUACCAAAACAACCAGUACUAACAACUAAUCCACAUCUGACAGAUGUGUUGAAGACUGAUUUCCAAGGGCCCAUUCCAUGGCAGCUUCACUGGUACGUGGUAAAAGGUGAUCUGAGCUGACAGCACCAGGAUGUCUCUAGCACAAAAAAAGCCCUCUCCUGUGCCUACCUAGCCCUUCUUUUUAAAACAUUUUGGAACUUCAGUUUGAAAUCUCAAUUAUUUUGCCAAAUUCAGCCAAAACCAACCAGCAGGCCCACACUUUUGGAGAGGUUAGGGCACAGUGGAAUCACAUACACGGACUUAUACACAGAGCAUGAAUUCAGACACGCUGUUUUAUUGGGAAACAAAAUCAUUGGCAAAACUAAGAAGUCCCUCAAGUAGAAUGUAGGAGAAGAAAAGUGAGAGAAACGCUGAAGAUGCUUUGUGCUCAUUUUUAUAAGCAUGUAAAGUCAUCUGAGGCACACAAAUUAAGGUAUCCAGGAACAUCUUGUCAGCCAAUGCCUUCCAAUACACCAGCGACAGUCAGGCAAUCACAACCUAGAGAAUCACGCGGCCAUUUUCAAAUGAGCCACAGCAAUAUCCUAGAUUUUUCAGAUCUGAAAAAAAAUGUAUUUCCUCCUAAAGGAAAUACAAAGGCUGUUUUUCAAUUAUAUGAGAUGCAACUGAAGUCAGCAAUUCUAGGAGAUGCUAUUGAAAUGCACCUGUAUCUUAGUGCUACCCGAGAAGCGGGGAGGCAUGUAUGAAGGUCACAUUUCCAUGUUACUUUGAAUUACCUGACCACCGCUCAGUUGCAAUAUAUCUAACUAUGUUUAAAUGGCCUGCCAAGGAAAAUAAAACAGAGGAACCUCAGCAGAGAAAUCAACGAGCAGAUGCUCUGAAAAUGCAGACUCCUCCCAACACAUCUAGUGUUGCAUGACUCCUCCAAUCGGUUUCACGUGGAAGGAAAAACAUGAACGUCUGAGCAGGAAUAAUGUUCAGAACAGUACAAAAGGCCUGUGAUCCAUCCUGCUUUCUUCAGCACAAAAACAAGCUCCGAAGAAUACAUAAAGAUGUUUAUUUCUGACAGCAGCUGGCAAUAGCUUGUGCACUUCAAAUGCAAGCCCAAGAACCUUUCAAAUGGUUAAAGGUGCGCAAAGGCUGGAAAGCUCAGAAGUCUUGCCAAGGAUGAUACAACUGAUGAAUUUGUUAACCUCACAUUCCUGUGAAUUUUUCACCACAGCAACCAUUCAACGUGACAUCUGCGUGAGUCUGCUCAGACCUUUGGGCUCACCUGACAAGAAGGAAGUUUCCGGGCGAAUUGUCUGAAGAAGAAACUUGGAAUGACCAAAGAGGCCCAUUCAAAGCCUGCGCCACUGUGGGGUUAUAUCUCGCCAGGCUCUCAUGAUGAUUGAUUUCCGCAGCAACAUUUGUGUUGGCACACAGUGCCAGUGAGUCAGCAUUUUUAAGUUACAACUGAGAAAACAAGUUUAAAAAAAAAAGGAAAAAAAUGUAAUACUGCUUCCAUUAUUUGCUAAGGCAACCAGCGCAUCAUAGGGUGAGAGCCCAAACUUCGCUGCCAUCCAACCUCCUCCCUGCUGCCUCCCAAAAGUUUGCCUUGUUUUCCUAAGCUGACGACCCACAAAUCAAAAAGUGUGCUGCUUCCUUCUGCCUCGUGUCCUCUGUCCUGCUCACACAUGUGCUCACCCCACAGCGGGCACCCAGAGCGAAACGGGAUUGCGUUCCUCUAGUCCGGAGCGUGAGCACAGCCCGGGGUGGGGCUGUUGGAGGAUCAGCUCUUAAUAAGAUGUUGCUUUUGCACAAACUUUUUGCUGUUUCCCAGGCUGGAAAUAUAAAGAGGAAGGAAAACAAGAAGGAUCCACCCGUAUCUGGUUGGAGACAGCAAACUGCGGCUAAAUGCACAAACUAUCUGCUAGCUUAAUAGGAAAUAAACCCCUGGCAUUUGCUUAUUCCAAGAAGGCAGAAUUUCAACCUACAGUCGUGCUCCCGGGGAGAGCCUCCAUGCCAAGAGACGUCUGUAUAAGGAGCGCUCUGUACAGCAGCCCCGGACGUGUGGGACAGCAGGCACCGAGGAGUGCGGCUGCUGGGGGGAGCAGCGGCACGGGACAUAAGCAGAGGGAUGUGAUGCCUUCUGCUAAAGAGAGGCUAAUUCUGUCUCCCUAAAGGGCGGCUGGUUACGGCACGGGAGCGCCAAGUUAAUAAACCAACCCUUUUAAAUGCUGUCUUCUACAUACGCUGUCUCGAGACGUACCAACCACGUUAUCUGCGGUGUCGAUGUUUUCCUCCUUGCACAUCAACACGGCCACAAACGUUUGUUUUCUCCAGAGGGAGCUGAGGUCCAUCAGACGGAACUAGCUAGCUGCGGGGCAACCAAACCGAGCAGCCUGGCAACCACAGCAGGAGCUGGCAGGCAGGGAGCUGGCUGGGGCCGCAGCCUCCCGCGUCCCUCUCGCAUCC
ensembl:lncRNA